GAUGAACGCUGGCGGCGUGCCUAAUACAUGCAAGUCGAGCGAACAGACGAGGAGCUUGCUCCUCUGACGUUAGCGGCGGACGGGUGAGUAACACGUGGAUAACCUACCUAUAAGACUGGGAUAACUUCGGGAAACCGGAGCUAAUACCGGAUAAUAUAUUGAACCGCAUGGUUCAAUAGUGAAAGACGGUUUUGCUGUCACUUAUAGAUGGAUCCGCGCCGCAUUAGCUAGUUGGUAAGGUAACGGCUUACCAAGGCAACGAUGCGUAGCCGACCUGAGAGGGUGAACGGCAACGUGGGAACUGAAACGCGUCCCAGCCUCCUAGGGAGGGCAGAAGAAGGAAAUCUUCAGCAAUGGGCAAAACCAUAACGGGGAACGGCGGGGAGAGGAAAGAGGGUCUUCGAAUCAAAAAACUCUUUAAUAGGGGAAAAACAAAUGUGAAAUUAAUUAUACACGUCUGAACGGUCCCUAAUCAGAAGACCACGGCUAACACCGAA
rnacentral:rRNA from 1 species